rnacentral:rRNA from 1 species
GCGACCACCCUACGUUUAGUUGCUAACGCGUGAAGGCGAGCACUCUAGACGAACUGCCGUUGACAAAACGGAGGAAGGUGGGGAUGACGUCAAAUCAUCAUGCCCCUUAUGUUCUGGGCUACACACGUGCUACAAUGGCCGGUACAGACGGACGCAAAGCCGCGAGGUGGAGCAAAUCCUAAAAAGCCGGUCUCAGUUCGGAUUGCAGGCUGCAAUCCGCCUGCAUGAAGUCGGAAUCGCUAGUAAUCGCAGGUCAGCAUACUGCGGUGAAUACGUUCCCGGGCCUU